rnacentral:rRNA from 1 species
CCUACGGGUGGCAGCAGUGGGGGAUAUUGCACAAUGGGGGGAACCCUGAUGCAGCGACGCCGCGUGGGUGAAGAAGCGCCUCGGCGCGUAAAGCCCUGUCAGCAGGGAAGAAAAUGACGGUACUUGAAGAAGAAGCCCCGGCUAACUACGUGCCAGCAGCCGCGGCAAUACGUAGGGGGCAAGCGUUAUCCGGAUUUACUGGGUGUAAAGGGGGCGCAGACGGCGAAGCAAGCCAGGAGUGAAAGCCCGGGGCCCAACCCCGGGACUGCUCUUGGAACUGCGUGGCUGGAGUGCAGGAGGGGGAGGCGGAAUUCCUGGUGUAGCGAUGAAAUGCGUAGAUAUCAGGAGGAACACCGGUGGCGAAGGCGGGCUGCUGGACUGCAACUGACGUUGAGGCCCGAAGGCGUGGGGAGCAAAAGGGAUUAGAUACCCUAGUAGUC